rnacentral:rRNA from 1 species
ACUGCUCAGUAACACGUGGAUAACCUACCCUUGGGACGGGGAUAAACCCGGGAAACUGGGUAUAAUACCCGAUAGUCCUCGAAUGCUGGAAUGCGUCGAGGGCGAAAGCUCCGGCGCCUAAGGAUGGGUCUGCGGCCUAUCAGGUAGUAGUGGGUGUAGCGUACCUACUAGCCUACGACGGGUACGGGUUGUGAGAGCAAGAGCCCGGAGAUGGAUUCUGAGACACGAAUCCAGGCCCUACGGGGUGCAGCAGGCGCGAAAACUUUACAAUGCUGGAAACAGCGAUAAGGGAACCUCGAGUGCCAGGUUACAAAUCUGGCUGUCGUGAUGCCUAAAAAGCAUUGCAUAACAAGGGCCGGGCAAGACCGGUGCCAGCCGCCGCGGUAACACCGGCGGCUCGAGUGGUAACCGUUAUUAUUGGGUCUAAAGGGUCUGUAGCCGGCCGGAUAAGUCUCUUGGGAAAUCUGGCAGCUUAACUGUCAGGCUUUCAGGAGAUACUGUCUGGCUCGAGGCCGGGAGAGGUGAGAGGUACUUCAGGGGUAGGGGUGAAAUCUUGUAAUCCUUGAAGGACCACCAGUGGCGAAGGCGUCUCACCAGAACGGACCUGACGGCAAGGGACGAAAGCUAGGGGCACGAACCGGAUUAGAUACCCGGGUAGUCCUAGCCGUAAACGAUACUCGCUAGGUGUCGGCCACGGUGCGACCGUGGUCGGUGCCGUAGGGAAGCCGUGAAGCGAGCCACCUGGGAAGUACGGCCGCAAGGCUGAAACUUAAAGGAAUUGGCGGGGGAGCA